rnacentral:rRNA from 1 species
AUUGAACGCUGGCGGUAGGCCUAACACAUGCAAGUCGAACGCGAAAGUCCUUCGGGAUGAGUAGAGUGGCGGACGGGUGAGUAACGCGUAGGAAUCUAUCCUGUAGUGGGGGAUAACGUUUCGAGAGGAACGCUAAUACCGCAUACGCCACAAGGGGGAAAGCGGGGGAUCUUCGGACCUCGUGCUAUAGGAGGGGCCUGCGUCGGAUUAGCUAGUUGGUGAGGUAAAGGCUCACCAAGGCGACGAUCCGUAGCUGGUCUGAGAGGAUGAUCAGCCACACCGGAACUGAGACACGGUCCGGACUCCUACGGGAGGCAGCAGUGGGGAAUAUUGCGCAAUGGGCGAAAGCCUGACGCAGCCAUACCGCGUGUGUGAAGAAGGCCUUCGGGUUGUAAAGCACUUUCAGUGGGGAGGAAAAGCUGGUGGCUAAUAUCCAUCGGCCGUGACGCUACCCACAGAAGAAGCACCGGCUAAUUCCGUGCCAGCAGCCGCAGUAAAAC